CUACCGUUCUGCCUCCGACCGGUCGUGUGUGGGUUUACUCGGAGAAAUACUAGGCUUUAGAAUUUCACCAUAUGAAUUUUGGGAGAGAGGAGCACAGUUCAGCCCAUAACUAACACACGUGAUGAAGAAGACAUGCCAACAGAGGGUUAAUUCCAGAUAAAAUGAAAUGUUCCAAACAGUACGUUUGGUUAUUUGAUUCAUCUGUGGGGGAAGGAAAGAUAAUUUUCCAAAGGACAUUCCUCCUAAAUUCUGUCUUAAAGUUGUUUACGGAAUGAAGUUGAUAAUAGUGAGACCUUGUUGGUACAAGACUAUGUAACAUAACCUGCGCUUCUCAACAAAGAAUUGCUUUUCUGACUUCUGCACUCAGUAGGUUCUUUCCUCCAGCUCACUUUAUUGUAAGAACCUUGGUGUCUGUAAUCGGCUCGGAACCCUUGCUGCUCUUUCACUGAAUAUCGCUGUCUGGAGGUUACUUGGUACACUGGUCGACAAAACCUUGAAAUGUUGAUGUUUAAGGGCUGUUGAUUGCUGGCAGCAAAGAAGUCCAACUGUGCUGGUACCCGAGAUAGCGUCUCCACAUUUUCUUCCAGGAUC
rnacentral:lncRNA from 10 species